rnacentral:pre_miRNA from 1 species
CUUACAGAGGUUAUUGGCAUUCUGUCCACCUCCAACAAAAAAGCCAAAGGACCCAUCACCAUUUUAAAAUUUAUUUUUUUUCUUGUUAAUGGAGGUGGGCAUCCUGCCAACAAAGCUCUGUUGG